UAACAAUGGCUUUAGUGGCGGACUGGUGAGUAACGCGUAAGCAAUCUGCCUAUUAGAGGGGAAUAACAGUGAGAAAUCACUGCUAAUACCGCAUAUGCCAUAGUUAUCACAUGAUAAUAGUGGGAAAGGAGCAAUCCGCUAAUAGAUGAGCUUGCGUCUGAUUAGCUAGUUGGUGGGGUAACGGCCUACCAAGGCAACGAUCAGUAGCCGGACUGAGAGGUUGAACGGCCACAUUGGGACUGAGAUACGGCCCAGACUCCUACGGGAGGCAGCAGUCGGGAAUAUUGCGCAAUGGAGGAAACUCUGACGCAGUGACGCCGCGUAUAGGAAGAAGGUUUUCGGAUUGUAAACUAUUGUCGUUAGGGAAGAUACAAGACAGUACCUAAGGAGGAAGCUCCGGCUAACUACGUGCCAGCAGCCGCGGUAAUACGUAGGGAGCAAGCGUUAUCCGGAUUUAUUGGGUGUAAAGGGUGCGUAGACGGGAAAUUAAGUUAGUUGUGAAAUCCCUCGGCUUAACUGAGGAACUGCAACUAAAACUGGUUUUCUUGAGUGCGGGAGAGGAAAGUGGAAUUCCUAGUGUAGCGGUGAAAUGCGUAGAUAUUAGGAGGAACACCAGUGGCGAAGGCGACUUUCUGGACCGUAACUGACGUUGAGGCACGAAAGUGUGGGGAGCAAACAGGAUUAGAUACCCUGGUUAGGUCCACACCGUAAACGAUGGAUACUAGGUGUAGGGUGUAUUAAGCAUUCUGUGCCGUCGCAAACGCAAUAAGUAUCCCACCUGGGGAGUACGGCCGCAAGGUUGAAACUCAAAGGAAUUGACGGGGGCCCGCACAAGCAGUGGAGUAUGUGGUUUAAUUCGAAGCAACGCGAAGAACCUUACCAGGGCUUGACAUAUGCAGGAAUAUGUUAGAGAUAACAUAGCUCUUCGGAGUCUGCAUACAGGUGGUGCAUGGUUGUCGUCAGCUCGUGUCGUGAGAUGUUGGGUUAAGUCCCGCAACGAGCGCAACCCCUGUGAUUAGUUGCCAACACGUAAAGGUGGGAACUCUAAUCAGACUGCCGGUGAUAAAUCGGAGGAAGGUGGGGACGACGUCAAAUCAUCAUGCCCUUUAUGUCCUGGGCUACACACGUACUACAAUGGCCGCUACAGAGGGAAGCUAAGUAGUGAUAUGGAGCAAAACCCUAAAAACGGUCUCAGUUCGGAUUGAAGGCUGAAAUUCGCCUUCAUGAAGCUGGAAUUGCUAGUAAUGGCAGGUCAGCAUACUGCCGUGAAUACGUUCCCGGGCCUUGCACUCACCGCCCGUCA
rnacentral:rRNA from 1 species